rnacentral:lncRNA from 1 species
AGGAGCGCGGACCCAAGAUCGGCUACGCUGCGUCUGCUCAGGCUGCGAGUUCCCGGCUCUGGGGACUCACCUUGCGGAGCUUACCCAGGCGGACUCUCCGCAGCCCCUGAUGGGUGUGUGUGUCAGACCGUUUACUAAACACCAGGACUGUUGUAGGCGACUGUAAGAAAUAAGAAUAUUGCAUGGUUACAAUUCUUGAAUGCUUACCUUGUGUCUUGUUCCUUACUCUACAGAAAUUUUCUAAUCCCGUGGCGAACCCCCGUACUUCAACGUAUGACAUUCUGUAAAUCUACAAAACAGAUGGGUCCCUGCCUUUGAGAAGUUUUUACAAUUUAGUGGGUACUGGACACGGACCUAAUUUAAUUCUCACAUGCCUUCCCUUUCUAAUAAGCUGCAUGUUAUGUAUCCCUAUUCUACAGAUGUGGGGAAUCCGAAAUUUUUAGCUUUUACUGGGACACACAGCUAGCAAGCAACUAAAGCGAGAAUUCCAACCUGAGCUCCAAUCCGAACUAUUUUCAUAAAAGGCAGGAUCCCAGGCUGAGGGAGUUCGAGGUUUGGGAGACAGUUUAGCAGUCGCUGAGUCCAAACAUGUUGUUUUCCUAGAAAAGAAAACUGAGAUCCAGGAAAGGGAAGUGAUUUUCCAAAGACACACCUGUGAAAGCCGUGUUGAACCAUGAAAGGACCUCAGGAAUGAAACCCACACACAGCAAAGCAACAAAGUGAAAGAAGCGUGGAUUCCUAAUGCAGGAGGCACUGAACCAAUCAAUACCCACUGCCCUCCAGACCUCCACAUGAAAGAAAAAAACUGCUGUCCUGUGUAAGACACUUUUAUUUUGUGUUUCUAUUGUAUGAGGUCAAACCUAAUAACAGAUAUAUUACACUCUAACAGAUACAUUACAUUGUAUAGUAGAAUUCUCAGACAGCAACCUUAUAAGGUGAUAGAUGCAGAAACAGGCCCAAAGAGUAAAAAUAAUUUGUUCAGAGUUUUCCAGCCAAGUGGCGAAGGUGAGAUUCUUACCUGGGUUUGUCUGAAACCAAUUUUCACUAUCUUUUUCAGUUAUGAUACACUGCCUAUUACGAAUGAAUGAAUCCUUUUUUUUUUUUCCAUUUACUUCCAUUUGAUUCAUUUAUUCCAGGGAGUGACACUUUUUCUGUAAAGGACCGAUAGUAAAUAUUUUAGACUUUGUGAGCAAUACAGUCUCUGUUGCAACUACUCAACUU